rnacentral:sRNA from 1 species
CAUUCAGAUGGCAGCCCGCAGUGAGGGCUUUCUUGGCCAUCUCAUCUGAAGUAGUGCCCUUUUUUAUUCUCUUUAUGUUUUCCUGUUUGUUCUCCAACUGAAAUUAUCAGAUGUGUUUAUAUUUUAUUAUUCAGCAUGUCCCAGUAGGAGGCAAAGUCACUUCAGCCUGCUGUUGCAGAGAAGCAGGGACAUCAGUGGAAAGAUUCAGAUCCUGUAAUGGCUGGAAUUGGGGAGGAGAUUGCACACUUUCAGAAGGAGUUGGAAGAGUUAAAAGCCCGAACUUCCAAAGCCUGUUUCCAAGUGGGCACUUCUGAGGAGAUGAAGAUGCUGCGAACAGAAUCAGAUGACUUGCAUACCUUUCUUUUGGAGAUUAAAGAGACCACAGAGUCGCUUCAUGGAGACAUAAGUAGCCUGAAAACAACUUUACUUGAGGGCUUUGCUGGUGUUGAGGAAGCCAGAGAACAAAAUGAAAGAAAUCGUGACUCUGGUUAUCUGCAUUUGCUUUAUAAAAGACCACUGGAUCCCAAGAGUGAAGC